GACAGAGGGGGCAAGCGUUGCUCGGAAUUACUGGGCGUAAAGGGCGCGUAGGCGGGAUGGCAAGUCGGUCGUGAAAUCCCUCGGCUCAACCGACGGAAGACGUCGAUCGAUACUGCUGUUCUUGAGGAUUGCAGAGGAGACUGGAAUUCCCGGUGUAGCGGUGAAAUGCGCAGAGAUCGGGAGGAACACCAAUGGCGAAAGCAGGUACCUGGACCAUUACUGACACUCAGCUGCGAAAGCUAGGGGAGCAAACAGG
rnacentral:rRNA from 1 species